CAGUCGCCGCGGUAAUACGAAGGGUGCAAGCGUUAAUCGGAAUUACUGGGCGUAAAGCGCGCGUAGGUGGUUUGUUAAGUUGGAUGUGAAAUCCCCGGGCUCAACCUGGGAACUGCAUCCAAAACUGGCAAGCUAGAGUAUGGUAGAGGGUGGUGGAAUUUCCUGUGUAGCGGUGAAAUGCGUAGAUAUAGGAAGGAACACCAGUGGCGAAGGCGACCACCUGGACUGAUACUGACACUGAGGUGCGAAAGCGUGGGGAGCAAACAGGAUUAGAUACCCCCGUAGUCCCUGUCUCUUAUAC
rnacentral:rRNA from 1 species